rnacentral:rRNA from 1 species
GAUGAACGCUGGCGGCGUGCCUAAUACAUGCAAGUCGAGCGAACGGACGAGAAGCUUGCUUCUCUGAUGUUAGCGGCGGACGGGUGAGUAACACGUGGAUAACCUACCUAUAAGACUGGGAUAACUUCGGGAAACCGGAGCUAAUACCGGAUAAUAUUUUGAACCGCAUGGUUCAAAAGUGAAAGACGGUCUUGCUGUCACUUAUAGAUGGAUCCGCGCUGCAUUAGCUAGUUGGUAAGGUAACGGCUUACCAAGGCAACGAUGCAUAGCCGACCUGAGAGGGUGAUCGGCCACACUGGAACUGAGACACGGUCCAGACUCCUACGGGAGGCAGCAGUAGGGAAUCUUCCGCAAUGGGCGAAAGCCUGACGGAGCAACGCCGCGUGAGUGAUGAAGGUCUUCGGAUCGUAAAACUCUGUUAUUAGGGAAGAACAUAUGUGUAAGUAACUGUGCACAUCUUGACGGUACCUAAUCAGAAAGCCACGGCUAACUACGUGCCAGCAGCCCGCGGAAUACGUAAGUGGCCAGCGUUUUCCCGGAUUUAUUGGGCGUAAAGCGCGCGUAGGCGGUUUUUUAGUCUGAUGUGAAAGCCCACGGCUCAACCGUGGAGGGUCAUUGGAAACUGGAAAACUUGAGUGCAGAAGAGGAAAGUGGAAUUCCAUGUGUAGCGGUGAAAUGCGCAGAGAUAUGGAGGAACACCAGUGGCGAAGGCGACUUUCUGGUCUGUAACUGACGCUGAUGUGCGAAAGCGUGGGGAUCAAACAGGAUUAGAUACCCUGGUAGUCCACGCCGUAAACGAUGAGUGCUAAGUGUUAGGGGGUUUCCGCCCCUUAGUGCUGCAGCUAACGCAUUAAGCACUCCGCCUGGGGAGUACGACCGCAAGGUUGAAACUCAAAGGAAUUGACGGGGACCCGCACAAGCGGUGGAGCAUGUGGUUUAAUUCGAAGCAACGCGAAGAACCUUACCAAAUCUUGACAUCCUUUGACAACUCUAGAGAUAGAGCCUUCCCCUUCGGGGGACAAAGUGACAGGUGGUGCAUGGUUGUCGUCAGCUCGUGUCGUGAGAUGUUGGGUUAAGUCCCGCAACGAGCGCAACCCUUAAGCUUAGUUGCCAUCAUUAAGUUGGGCACUCUAAGUUGACUGCCGGUGACAAACCGGAGGAAGGUGGGGAUGACGUCAAAUCAUCAUGCCCCUUAUGAUUUGGGCUACACACGUGCUACAAUGGACAAUACAAAGGGCAGCGAAACCGCGAGGUCAAGCAAAUCCCAUAAAGUUGUUCUCAGUUCGGAUUGUAGUCUGCAACUCGACUACAUGAAGCUGGAAUCGCUAGUAAUCGUAGAUCAGCAUGCUACGGUGAAUACGUUCCCGGGUCU